AGUGAACGCUGGCGGCGUGCCUAACACAUGCAAGUCGAACGGACGAAGAGAGCUUGCUCUCCUAGUUAGUGGCGCACGGGUGAGUAACACGUAGCUAACCUGCCCCAUAGUAAGGGACAACAGUUGGAAACGACUGCUAAUACCUUAUACUCCUCCUCUACCUAAGUAGAGUCGGGAAAGUUUUUUCGGUAUGGGAUGGGGCGGCGGCCUAUCAGCUUGUUGGGGAGGUAAUGGCUCACCAAGGCUAUGACGGGUAGCUGGUCUGAGAGGAUGAUCAGCCACAUUGGAACUGAGACACGGUCCAAACUCCUACGGGAGGCAGCAGUGGGGAAUUUUACACAAUGGGCGAAAGCCUGAUGUAGCAACGCCGCGUGGAGGAUGAAGGAUUUAGGUUCGUAAACUCCUUUUAUAAGGGAAGAAAUUUGACGGUACCUUAUGAAUAAGCACCGGCUAACUCCGUGCCAGCAGCCGCCGUAA
rnacentral:rRNA from 1 species